CACGUAGGGUGCGAGCGUUGUCCGGAAUUAUUGGGCGUAAAGAGCUCGUAGGCGGUGUGUCGCGUCGGCCGUGAAAACCUGCAGCUUAACUGUGGGCUUGCGGUCGAUACGGGCAUCACUGGAGUUCGGCAGGGGAGACUGGAAUUCCUGGUGUAGCGGUGAAAUGCGCAGAUAUCAGGAGGAACACCGGUGGCGAAGGCGGGUCUCUGGGCAGUAACUGACGCUGGAGGAGCGAAAAGCCGUGGGGAGCGAACAGG
rnacentral:rRNA from 1 species